rnacentral:rRNA from 1 species
CCUACGGGUGGCUGCAGUGAGGAAUAUUGGUCAAUGGCCGAGAGCCUGAACCAGCCAAGCCGCGUGAGGGAAGAAGGUCCUAAGGAUUGUAAACUUCUUUUGUCGGGGAGCAAAAAGGCUCUGCGGAGUCGUAGUGAGUGUACCCGAAGAAAAAGCAUCGGCUAACUCCGUGCCAGCAGCCGCGGUAAUACGGAGGAUGCGAGCGUUAUCCGGAUUUAUUGGGUUUAACGGGUGCGCAGGCGGCCUGUCAAGUAAGCGGUAAAAUCCCGGGGCUCAACCCCGUCGAGCCGUUUAAACUGGCGGGCUAGAGAUCAGGAGAGGUACGCGGAAUGCGUGGUGUAGCGGUGAAAUGCAUAGAUAUCACGAAGAACUCCGAUUGCGAAGGCAGCUUACCGGUCUGCGACUGACGCUCAGGCACGAAAGCGUGGGUAUCGAACAGGAUUAGAUACCCCUGUAGUC